rnacentral:rRNA from 1 species
CCUACGGGUGGCAGCAGUGAGGAAUAUUGGUCAAUGGACGAGAGUCUGAACCAGCCAAGUAGCGUGAAGGAAGAAGUAUUUCGGUAUGUAAACUUCUAUCAGCAGGGAAGAAAAUGACGGUACCUGACUAAGAAGCCCCGGCUAACUACGUGCCAGCAGCCGCGGUAAUACGUAGGGGGCAAGCGUUAUCCGGAUUUACUGGGUGUAAAGGGAGCGUAGGCGGCGAUGCAAGUCAGAAGUGAAAGCCCGGGGCUCAACUCCGGGACUGCUUUUGAAACUGUGUUGCUAGAUUGCAGGAGAGGUAAGUGGAAUUCCUAGUGUAGCGGUGAAAUGCGUAGAUAUUAGGAGGAACACCAGUGGCGAAGGCGGCUUACUGGACUGUAAAUGACGCUGAGGCUCGAAAGCGUGGGGAGCAAACAGGAUUAGAUACCCUUGUAGUC